rfam:Thalassolituus sp. HI0120 HI0120_c31, whole genome shotgun sequence.
GGGUCGUUAGCUCAGUUGGUAGAGCAGUUGGCUUUUAACCAAUUGGUCGCUGGUUCGAAUCCAGCACGACCCA